rnacentral:tRNA from 1 species
AGUUGGUUGAGCGUCUGACUCUCGGCUUCAUGACUCUUGGUCAUGAUCUCACUGUUUGUGGGUUCAAAUCCCACAUCAGCUU